UUAACUUUAUAAAGACAUUAAUUUUUUGAAAUGCGUCAUUAAUGAUUUUAAUAAGAAAUUUUCAGGAUUUUUGAGUUGGGAUCACAAUCACCCCUGAAUAGUUCAACAAUACAUCGGAAUAAAAAUCCAGAUAAAAAAAAUAUAUUUAGGAAGAGAAAUGAGGCAAAUGAUUGUUACAGUGAUCAAGAGUUUUAUGGAUAAAAUGUGAUAAUUUUCAUUUCUAAACAUAUGAAUGUUGAACAUUGUUUGAUUGACAUAGUCUUUUGACAUUUGCUUAAAAACUUAUAAAAUAGUUGGUAUCUAACGUCUAAAAUUAAAUUAAGGAAAUGAAAAUAAAAUACAGGGUCGCCACUCCACAGGGAGAAUAGGGGAAACCUGGAAAAUAAAGGGAAUUAAAAAAUCAACUAAAUUAACAGGGAAAAUGCAAGGAAUAUUUAUUUCUUAUUUUCUUUUUUUACAAAAUGUUGUCCUCUUUAAGUGCAAUCUAUGGGGUAUUUAAAUAUAGUUCAGUUAUACUUUACUAUUUUAUUUGCUGUAUUUUUAUUUUUUUUAUGUAUGUUAAACUGUUCCUUAUUUAAGUUUUUCUAGCAAUUAAAACUAGUAUUAGUUAUCCUGAUAUAGCGUACAAAUUUGCGCAGUAAUUGUGUGUUUCCUCUUAGUAUAUUGUGUAUAAUAUAUACAGGGAAAACGCAGGGAGCUUUUUUUUUCUUCCCAGAUUUGAGUAGCAACCCUGUAAUAAAUCUAUAAAAUAACUUUUUUGCUCUAUGAAUUAUUCUUUAUUAUUUCUUUUAAAUUAAAUUUAGUAAUUUUAAACUAUAUUUGUGAAAAAAAUGUCAUUCUUUUUCUCGUGUCUUUAAGUAGAUAUCUCAUUUUAUCAAUUUUUGGCAUUUAGCUGAACAAGUCAAAAAGGGGCGAGUAGUAACAGCUCAACAAAUAAAGUCUUGGCCAUAUACUUAACUGAUGUUAUUUCUUGACAAGAUUGGAAGUAAAAAAAAUGAAACUGGUGGUCAUCAGUGGGGUUCUCCAAAAAUUUCUUCUAGAACUGGUGGUGUGAACUAGAGUCCAAAAUUCACCUGUGUCAAACUAUGUUGGUGUGCCACAGAAUGUACCACCUGUGGCUGCUGUUGAACAAGGAAUGGUUGGAAUGGUCAAUGUUCCAGUUUAUGGCUAUCCUCAAACAGUAAUACCUACUAUGAUACCUUCAGGGUAACCAAUACAGUUACAUCUCUAAGUGAUUUUAGUGUCUACAACAAGGGAACUCAGACCUGUGGGACUGCUUUUGUGAUGCGUUGCUUACAGCUAUAGAGUCAUUCAAUUAAGUAACAUAUUUUAAGGGGAAAAUCGAGUUUAAAAUAAAUUGAGCAAUAACCACUAACUAUUACUAUCCCCUUUUCCUUUGUGAAAGCUAAUUAGAAUUCUAUCCUUAAACUUCAACUAUAAUGGAAUGUGACACUCGACGAAGUUUCAUCAUCAGUUCAUAAAAAAUAACAACGCUCCAGAUGCUUUCUUUUGUCAAAAGUAAUGCAGAGUGGAGAGAAAGAUCUUACAGGUCUCAUAGUUCUUCAACCUCAUUUCCAGGGAUUUCACAAUGAUCUGGGAUCUACUAUAAGUCGACUAGAUGAAGACAAAAUAGACUAUAUAAAGACAAUUUUUCCGUAUUAGUUUAAGAACCGAACUGAAAAUCUGUUAAAGUGAUGCAUCUUAAGAAAAUUAAUUUUUUCCUGUACUGAGUAUCUGGGUUCUAAUUCGUCACUUAUUUCGAAAGUACUUUCGAGACAGUAGUAUAUUGAUUGUGCACUAUGUUGAUUGUGAAAUU
rnacentral:lncRNA from 1 species